CGUAAGGCUAAAUACUACUUAGUGACCGAUAGCGCAUAGUACUGUGAAGGAAAGGUGAAAAGGACCCCGGGAGGGGAGUGAAAGAGAACCUGAAACCCUGUGUUUACAAGCUGUGGAAGACGAAAGGUGAACCGCGUACUUUUUGUAGAACGGUCCGGCGAGUUGCGCGGCUGGCGAGGUUAAGGCUAAGGCCGGAGCCGAAGGGAAACCAAGUCUUAAGGGCGGUCAGUGGAGCAGACCCGAAACCGGGUGAUCUAUCCAUGUCCAGGUGAAGUUGCCGUAAAAGGCAAUGGAGGACCGAACCACAUCCGUUGAAAAGGGUGGGGAUGAGGUGUGGAUAGGGGAGAAAAUUCCAAUCGAACCCGGAGAUAGCUGGUUCUCCUCGAAAUAGCUUUAGGGCUAGCCUCAUACAAGUCUUGCGGAGGUAGAGCACUGAAUUUCCUAGGGGGCGUCAAAGCUUACCGAAGAAUAUCAAACUCCGAAUGCCGCGUAGAUGGUGUAUGGGAGUCAGACUGCACGAGAUAAGUUGGGCAGUCAAAGGGAAAGAGCCCAGACCUCAGCUAAGGUCCCAAAGUGUGUGUUAAGUGGAAAAGGAUGUGGGAUUUCAAAGACAACUAGGAUGUUGGCUCAGAAGCAGCCAUACAUUCAAAGAGUGCGUAAUAGCUCACUAGUCGAGAGGUCCUGCGCCGAAAAUGUCCGGGGCUGAAAACACACUGCCGAAGCUGGGAAUGCGAAGUAUUGGUAGAGGAGCAUUGCAGAGGAAGCAGUACCGGAAGGAGCGUGGAUAGAAGAGAGAAUGCCGGAAUGAGUAGCGAGAGGAAGGUGGGAAUCCUUCCGGCCGAAUAUCCAAGGUUUCCAGGGUAAAGCUGAUCUGCUCUGGGUAAGUCGGGGCCUAAGGCGAGGCUGAGAGGCGUAGUCGAUGGACAACAGGUUGAAAUUCCUGUACCAUGUAUCAUCAGAACUGUGGGGACACAGAAGGACAACACAUCCCGGGAAUGGAAUACCGGGGCAAGCGAGGUAGAGGGGGGGGGGAGGAGUACGGUUGGCAAAUCCGCCGUGCAAUCCGAAGACGUGACGCGCAGCGAACUAAAGUAGCGAAGUGUGUGAUUCGGCUGUCAAGAAAAGCCGCUAUUGUGUGAUACAUGCCCGUACCGUAAACCGACACAGGUAAGAUGAGGAGAGAAUCCUAAGGCCGGCGGGAGAAGCAUUGUUAAGGAAACUCGGCAAAAUGACCCCGUAACUUCGGGAGAAGGGUGCCACAGAGAUGUGGCCGCAGAGAAUAGGCUCAAGCAACUGUUUAGCAAAAAACACAGGUCUAUGCAAAACCGUAAGGUGAGGUAUAUGGGCUGACGCCUGCCCGGUGCUGGAAGGUUAAGAGGAGAGGUUAGAGCAAUCGAAGCUUUGAAUUUAAGCCCCAGUAAACGGCGGCCGUAACUAUAACGGUCCUAAGGUAGCGAAAUUCCUUGUCGGGUAAGUUCCGACCCGCACGAAAGGCGUAAUGAUUUGAGCGCUGUCUCAACAAUGCACCCGGUGAAAUUGAAAUACCAGUGAAGAUGCUGGUUUACCUGCGCCAGGACGGAAAGACCCCAUGGAGCUUUACUCCAGUUUGAUACUGGGAUUCGGUAUUGCAUGUACAGGAUAGGUGGGAGGCUGAGAAACAUGGACGCCAGUCUGUGUGGAGCCAAUGUUGGGAUACCACCCUUGCGAUAUUGGGUUUCUAACCUGCGCCCGUGACCCGGGCGGGGGACAAUGUCAGGCGGGGAGUUUGACUGGGGCGGUCGCCUCCGAAAGGGUAUCGGAGGCGCUCAAAGGUUCCCUCAGGAUGGUUGGAAACCAUCCAAAGAGUGCAAAGGCAUAAGGGAGCUUGACUUGCGACACCGACGGGUGGAGCAGGUACGAAAGUAGGACUUAGUGAUCCGGUGGUAUGAAAGUGGGAUUGCCAUCGCUCAACGGAUAAAAAGCUACCCUGGGGAUAACAGGCUUAUCACUCCCAAGAGUUCACAUCGACGGAGUGGUUUUGGCACCUCGAUGUCGGCUCAUCGCAUCCUGGGGCUGUAGCAGGUCCCAAGGGUUGGGCUGUUCGCCCAUUAAAGCGGUACGCGAGCUGGGUUCAGAACGUCGUGAGACAGUUCGGUCCCUAUCCGGCGCGGGCGUAGGAUAUCUGAGAGGAGCUGUCCUUAGUACGAGAGGACCGGGAUGGACAGACCGCUGGUGUACCUGUUGGCUUACCAAGGCCAUGGCAGGGUAGCCAAGUCUGGACGGGAUAAACGCUGAAGGCAUCUAAGCGUGAAGCCCCCCUCAAGAUGAGAUAUCCCAUCGCGAAAGCGAGUAAGACCCCUUGAAGACGACGAGGUAGAUAGGUUAGAGGUGGAAGUGCAGUAAUGUAUGGAGCUGACUAAUACUAAUCGGUCGAGGGCAUGACCAA
rnacentral:rRNA from 1 species